rnacentral:rRNA from 1 species
GACGAACGCUGGCGGCGUGCCUAAUACAUGUCAGUUGAGCGCUGAAGGUUGGUACUUGUACCAACUGGAUGAGCAGCGAACGGGUGAGUAACGCGUGGGGAAUCUGCCUUUGAGCGGGGGACAACAUUUGGAAACGAAUGCUAAUACCGCAUAAAAACUUUAAACACAAGUUUUAAGUUUGAAAGAUGCAAUUGCAUCACUCAAAGAUGAUCCCGCGUUGUAUUAGCUAGUUGGUGAGGUAAAGGCUCACCAAGGCGAUGAUACAUAGCCGACCUGAGAGGGUGAUCGGCCACAUUGGGACUGAGACACGGCCCAAACUCCUACGGGAGGCAGCAGUAGGGAAUCUUCGGCAAUGGACGAAAGUCUGACCGAGCAACGCCGCGUGAGUGAAGAAGGUUUUCGGAUCGUAAAACUCUGUUGGUAGAGAAGAACGUUGGUGAGAGUGGAAAGCUCAUCAAGUGACGGUAACUACCCAGAAAGGGACGGCUAACUACGUG